CCUACGGGGUGCAGCAGUGGGGAAUCUUGGACAAUGGGCGAAAGCCCGAUCCAGCAAUAUCGCGUGAGUGAAGAAGGGCAAUGCCGCUUGUAAAGCUCUUUCGUCGGGUGCGCGAUCAUGACAGGACUCGAGGAAGAAGCCCCGGCUAACUCCGUGCCAGCAGCCGCGGUAAUACGAAGGGGGCUAGCGUUGUUCGGAAUUACUGGGCGUAAAGCGCGCGUAGGCGGAUAGAUAAGUCAGAGGUGAAAUCCCGGGGCUCAACCCCGGAAUUGCCUUUGAUACUGUUUAUCUUGAGUGCAGAAGAGGUAAGUGGAAUUCCGAGUGUAGAGGUGAAAUUCGUAGAUAUUCGGAGGAACACCAGUGGCGAAGGCGGCUUACUGGUCUGCAACUGACGCUGAGGCGCGAAAGCGUGGGGAGCAAACAGGAUUAGAUACCCCUGUAGUC
rnacentral:rRNA from 1 species